rnacentral:sRNA from 1 species
AUUUGCUGGGGGCAGAUGAAAUGGAUGUGACUGUCAAACCCGCCGGCGGUGAGGAUGCGGCCUUCACCGGCAAUAAUUUCUGUGCCUGGGCCAAUGAUGAUAUCUACGCCGGGCUGGGUGUCAGGAUUUCCUGCUUUGCCAAUGGCAUGGAUGCGGCCAUUGAACAGCGCGACAUCGGCCUUGUAGAUGCCAGAGUGAUCCACGAUCAGCGCAUUGGUGAUGACGGUGUCAACUGCGCCGGCAGCACGGGUGACCUGGGACUGCCCCAUGCCAUCGCG